rnacentral:sRNA from 1 species
UCUGCGUUAAGGAUUGAAGCGACAUCCUUUUUUACGUCAGUUUGAGUGUUUUGCGAAGCAUGAGCAAAAUGUAUCGAAAACAAGUAAAAAAGAUAUAGCGUAAAGCCUGACCCGAU